AUGUCCAAAGCCCUUGAUGUCCUGCAACUGAAGGAGAAGGAUGUCCUUAAAUUCCUUGCAGCAGGAACUCAUUUAGGUGGCACCAACCUUGAUUUCCAGAGGAAAAGUGACAGCAUCUACAUCAUCAGUCUGAAGAGGAUCUGGGAGAAGCUUCUGCUGACAGCUCAUCUAUUGUUGCCAUUGAAAACACUGCUGAUGUCAGUGUCAUGUCCUCCAGGAAUCCUGGCCAGUGGGUUGUGCUCAAAUUUGCUACUGCCACUGGAGCAAAUCCUAUUGCUAGCUGCUUUACUCCUGGAACCUUCACUAACCCAAUCCAGGCAGCCUUCCAGGAGCCGUGUUUUUUGGUGGUUACUGAUCCCAGGGCUAACCACCAGCUUUUCACAGAGACAUCUUAUGGUAACCUGCCUACCAUUGCUCUGUGUUCCACAGAUUCUCCUCUGUGCUCUGUGGGCAUCUCCAUCCCAUGCAACAAUAAGGGAGUUCACUCAGUGGGUCUGAUGUGGUGGAGACUGGCCCAGGAAGUUCUGCACACAAGUGGCACCAUCUCCUGUGAACACUCAUCAAGGUCAUGCCUGAUUUCUACUUCCAUGGAGAUCCUGAAGAGAUUGAAAAGGAAGAACAGGCUGCUGCUGAAAAGACUGUGACCAAGGAGGAAUUUCAGAGUGAAUGGACUACCCUAGCUCCUGACUCCACUGCUACUCAACCAGAGGUUGCAGACUGGUCUGAAGGCAAGCAGGUGCCCCUGUGGCCAUUCAGCAGGUUUCGACUGAAAACUACAGCAUUCAACCUGCUAUGGAAGAAUGGUCUGCAGCUCCCCUGACUCAGGCCACUGAAGGGGUAGGAACCACCACC
rnacentral:lncRNA from 1 species